GAGCUGAAAGGCAGUGGGACUGACUGUAGGUGCUGCUGCCUUCCAACCCGAGAACCAGGGAGGCAGCUGCAUCUUUCCAGGAGCUGGGCCAUCCUAAGUGGGCCAAAACCAUGUCAGCCACAAGCUCUUCCUUCAUCCCUGCUAAUCUGAGCUGGGCAACAGCCUUGUGGGUCGCCUGAGGCCCUCUGGAUGGGGCUGGCUACCCUGUCCCCAGCACCUGGCCUGAGGCCCUUCCUAGCUCACUUAGGCAGAUGAAGUUUGUGAGCAUGAGUGCCAGUUACACGGAACUUGGUUACAUAGACUGGCCGAUAGGACCAGAAGAGACUAGCUAGCACAAAAAUGUCCCAGAACUUGAGGUGCCCUGGAGGAAAGACAUGUAAAAGUCGCAGGAAUGGCACUGGACAGCCCUACUUGGUGUGUGGAGUCACGGGGCAUGAGGAAGGGUGUGGGAGAUUAGUGUUAAGCUGAAAUCACAGAAGGGCCCCCAUGUAGAAUAGGCUGUUCAGGCCUCCAGGCUAUGGGAGACACUGGUUUGGAUGGGGGCAGGAUUAAUUUAAGCUUCAAAAAAAAUAAUAAAAUCAAAGCCCAAGGCCUCGGUAUUUAGUAACAGAAGACCAACCUGGAUGGGCGAGGGCAGAAACUCCUUAGAUCAAGGCCACUGUGGUCCUAGGUUAUCCCCAGGGAUCUGCUCACCCUUUUUUGGGGUGAUUUUUUUUUUUUUUGAGAUAGGGUCUCUGCAUAGCCAGGGUUAUCCUGGAACUCACUAUAUAGACCAGGAUCUCUCCAACUCAGAGAUCCUCUUGCCUUUGCCUCCCCAGUACUGAGACUAAAGGCAUGUACCCCCGACUCUUGAAGUUUUAUCUUGAAGUAUUUUGAAGGCUUACAAAGUGCCCAAAGUCCUGGCCCAUGGUGUUGAUCCUGGUCUGGGCCACCCAGAAAUGAAAGGAGCCACUGCCCUGAACCCCCAGUCCCUGACUUUCUGUGCCCUGACACUCUUCUACUUUAGCUAUGGCACAGGAACAUUAAAAAGCAACAAAACAAAAC
rnacentral:lncRNA from 1 species